UGUAAACGAUGUCGAUUUGGAGUUUGUUGCCUAGAGUGAUGGGCUCCGAAGCUAACGCGAUAAAUCGACCGCUGGGGAGUACGGCCGCAAGGUUAAAACUCAAAUGAAUUGACGGGGGCCCGCACAAGCGGUGGAGCAUGUGGUUUAAUUCGAUGCAACGCGAAGAACCUUACCUGGUCUUGACAUCCAUAGAAUUCUGCAGAGAUGUGGGAGUGCCUUCGGGAACUAUGAGACAGGUGCUGCAUGGCUGUCGUCAGCUCGUGUUGUGAAAUGUUGGGUUAAGUCCCGCAACGAGCGCAACCCUUAUUCUUUGUUGCCAGCGAUUUGGUCGGGAACCCAAAGGAGACUGCCGUUGAUAAAGCGGAGGAAGGUGGGGACGACGUCAAGUCAUCAUGGCCCUUACGACCAGGGCUACACACGUGCUACAAUGGCGUAUACAAAGGGAAGCGAAGGUGCGAGCUGGAGCGGAUCUCAUAAAGUACGUCUAAGUUCGGAUUGGAGUCUGCAACUCGACUCCAUGAAGUCGGAAUCGCUAGUAAUCGUAGAUCAGAAUGCUACGGUGAAUACGUUCCCGGGCCUUGUACACACCGCCCGUCACACCAUGGGAGUGGGUUGCACCAGAAGUAGAUAGCUUAACCGCGAGGGGGGCGUUUACCACGGUGUGAUUCAUGACUGGGGUGAAGUCGUAACAAGGUAACCA
rnacentral:rRNA from 1 species